UUCUCUAAAAUAUCAAAUGGAACAUUAUUUUAUUAGUUCAUAAGUAUAUUUCAAAAUAAAUAUAAUUAUUUAUUUAAAUAUGUUCAUAUGAAAUAGGCUUUUAAACAGGCUAACAGGCCACAUCAAACUUUCAAAAGGUCAGGCUCAGGCCUAGAAUUUAAGCCUAUGAUAGGCCACAGGCCAGGCUCAGACCUUCGAUUUUUUGACAGGCCAGAGUCAGGCUUGGCAAAGCCUAGCUCGGCCUAGCCUAUUCCCACCUCU
rnacentral:lncRNA from 1 species